rnacentral:rRNA from 1 species
UACAGAGGGUGCGAGCGUUGUCCGGAAUCACUGGGCGUAAAGGGCGCGUAGGCGGCCCGGUAAGGUUGCGGUGAAAGCCCGGGGCUCAACCCCGGGUCGGCCGUGGCAACUGCUGGGCUGGAGCACAGUAGAGGCGGGUGGGACUCCGGGUGUAGCGGUGGAAUGCGUAGAGAUCCGGAAGAACACCGGUGGCGAAGGCGGCCCGCUGGGCUGUUGCUGACGCUGAGGCGCGACAGCGUGGGGAGCGAACAGG